AACUAAUAUCAAAUUCUCAGCUGAUCUUCCUAUCAGGCUCAUCCAUUGGCUCUUGCUCUAUGAUGCAGCAAACUCCUUAAUCAAAUCAAGAUCUCGUGGUUUCCGGAUCUUCCUCUUGGCAUGAUAUUAAGAAGGUGAGGCUAAAAGAUGGAAGAUUGGCUUCUAUUAAGGUGGUGCCAAUAGUAGCCUCCAGUUUAGCUGAAAAACACGAAGUAAAUAUAUGCAUCAAUGUUGCACGAGUACUUGCAUUCCUCCAUGAAGUCCAGCCUUAUAUAGAUAAUUCAUAGAAGCACUAAAGCAAGUAACAUCCGUCUCGGGAGAGACCUGACCCCAAAGAUAUCAGAUUUUGGUCUUGCUAAGCUUAUUCCAGCUAAUCUGACCUACGUUAACACUCUUGUGGAAGGAACUUUGUAAGUUUGCGUACUUUUAUAUUUUCUUAGAAAAAUUCCUCUUGGUGAAUUCUAGGUUGGAUUUAUGAAUUAAAUUGAGUAAGUCAUUCAGAAACGAUAAGUAAUGUUCUGAGGUAAGAAAUGACUGGAAAUAAGUAAUUUUAUUGAUUGUAUAGGGAAAAUCCUGCAUAAAAGAUUUAUUCAUUGAAGGGAAACAUCUCACAAUCUCUUCUGUUUUUUCUUCCUUGGUGAUUGAGCAGCAGCAGCUUGGUGAUACUUGCACCAGAAUUCAAGAGAAACAAAUAGUAAGCUGUUCAGAAAAAGAGAUCUUCCAAAAAUACAAACUCCCGUGCAGGAGUGAAUGAAGCAUCAGUCUUCAAAUAAGGUAGGUCCCAGAUCUGGCAAGUUAAAGCAAGUAAUUUAUUCUCACUGAACAUCUUUAGUUGCAGAUUCUUUUCGCUAUCAUUUUCCUGAUGAAUGUCCUUUGAAUAAGAGUGGCACAAAGAGAGACUUCAUUAGGGAUUCUUGCAGCUGUAUGCCAUCUGGUAGGUCCUUUGAUUUCGAGUUUGGUUUUCAUAUAGGCGAUAUCGACCGUUAGGAUUAAGGAUUAUUUGUUGUUAUUACACUUACAUAAAGUUUGGUGUUUGUCAAGAGUUUAUGGAGUUUGGGUAGAGAUUCGGAUGUCAGUAUGAGGAUAAGUGGAAGAUCUAGAGAACUUCCGGUUUAAGAAAAUCUUACAGGAGAAUAUAUUUAAUAGUGAAAUGAGAUGAACUGAAUAGAGAAGAUAUGUAGGAUUCAUAUAACCGACCCAAACUAGUUUCUGUAUUGGAGCAUAGUCUGUAAGUCCAUGAAUCUCGAGUGACUUAAAACUUUUCAGCUGACAUGAUUUAAUCAAACUUCUUGGAUUUGUGUCAUACUGUUUUCAUGCGUAUCUCGUGGUCUGCCUUCCCUCGUGCCAACACAAGGUGGAUUGAAUAGAACGUACUAUUGCAUCAUACUAGGGAAAAAUAAAAUUCUUCCAUAUUCGUUUGUUAAAUUUAUAUUACGUAUAACAUCUUGAAUGAACUGGUUAUGAACUGUUCCCAUGCUGGAUGUGUGAUUAUUCAAAAAAAAAAAAAAAAAAAAAAUACUGAGAAUUGUAAUGUGCUUCUUUUCAUUUUUGACAGGUGCUAGCAGACAUUAUACAAAUCAGUUCAUUUAAAAUUGCUCUCUUUUUUCUUCUUGUGUUGCAAAGGAUAUUA